rnacentral:rRNA from 1 species
CCUACGGGAGGCAGCAGUGAGGAAUAUUGGUCAAUGGGCGGGAGCCUGAACCAGCCAAGUCGCGUGAGGGAAGACGGUCCUAUGGAUUGUAAACCUCUUUAGGCGGGGAGCAAUGCCGGGCACGUGUGCCCGGAGGGAGAGUACCCGCAGAAUAAGCAUCGGCUAACUCCGUGCCGGCAGCCGCGGUAAUACGGAGGAUGCGAGCGUUAUCCGGAUUUAUUGGGUUUAAAGGGUGCGUAGGCGGAUUUUUAAGUCAGCGGUAAAAUGUCCGGGCUCAACCCGGGCCGGCCGUUGAUACUGGGGAUCUUGAGUGGGCGAGAAGUAUGCGGAAUGCGUGGUGUAGCGGUGAAAUGCAUAGAUAUCACGCAGAACUCCGAUUGCGAAGGCAGCAUACCGGCGCCCGACUGACGCUGAGGCACGAAAGCGUGGGGAUCGAACAGGAUUAGAUACCCUGGUAGUC